AUUCCAUCUUUUUUUUUUAACAUCACCUGGAGAGCUUCAUUUAAGAGGUAAUGUAGCAAAUGGGAACCAGUGAAACAGUUUAUGAUUUCUUCUACAGCAAGUCUCAAUUUACUGGGGGGGGGGCAACUUGUUAGGCGGCUUAUCUCUUUCCUGGGACUGUGCUUCUCAUUAUCAAAAAGGGCACGGGCCCAGCAAGAAAAGCCUUUAGAUCUGACAGCGGUAUUGGGCAGGAACUCCUUUCUCAGGGGGUAUUUUAAGGGGUAAUUCUCCUGCCUGGGUAUCCGCUUUCAGCUCUAUAGUAGUGCUGGGCGGGAAAAUUCGCUGCUCGCCAAAAAUUAAAUAAAUUGUACAUAGAACACAGUAUUGGGAAGUGCUAACGUGAUGUUUUUCUUUUUUUCAGCGAGCGAUGAACAAAGUGUUCAAGCGUUUGAGGCGUUUUUUCCCUUGCUUCGGCAAGGAGGAGCCCACUGAGGAGCCCCAGGAAUUUAUCUGCCUGGUACCAUCGGUUGGAUCUGGCAACGCCGUUUGCCAAGAGGAGAAACCAGAGCACAAAAUGGAGCCGGCUAUAGACAACUGCCGGGUAAGCAUAAGAGAGGGGAGAGUAGGGGGCAAAUAAAAAUCACUCUAUAUUUUACGUAAGGCUGUAUAUUAGCUGCUUUAUUACAACGUGCAACAUCUUUCUCUUACCUUUUCUUUAAUCAGGAGACUCCAGAAAUCCCUGACACGGACA